rnacentral:rRNA from 1 species
GGUUAAGCGACUAAGCGUACACGGUGGAUGCCCUGGCAGUCAGAGGCGAUGAAGGACGUGCUAAUCUGCGAUAAGCGUCGGUAAGGUGAUAUGAACCGUUAUAACCGGCGAUUUCCGAAUGGGGAAACCCAGUGUGUUUCGACACACUAUCAUUAACUGAAUCCAUAGGUUAAUGAGGCGAACCGGGGGAACUGAAACAUCUAAGUACCCCGAGGAAAAGAAAUCAACCGAGAUUCCCCCAGUAGCGGCGAGCGAACGGGGAGCAGCCCAGAGCCUGAAUCAGUAUGUGUGUUAGUGGAAGCGUCUGGAAAGGCGCGCGAUACAGGGUGACAGCCCCGUACACAAAAAUGCACAUGCUGUGAGCUCGAUGAGUAGGGCGGGACACGUGGUAUCCUGUCUGAAUAUGGGGGGACCAUCCUCCAAGGCUAAAUACUCCUGACUGACCGAUAGUGAACCAGUACCGUGAGGGAAAGGCGAAAAGAACCCCGGCGAGGGGAGUGAAAAAGAACCUGAAACCGUGUACGUACAAGCAGUGGGAGCACGCUUAGGCGUGUGACUGCGUACCUUUUGUAUAAUGGGUCAGCGACUUAUAUUCUGUAGCAAGGUUAACCGAAUAGGGGAGCCGAAGGGAAACCGAGUCUUAACUGGGCGUUAAGUUGCAGGGUAUAGACCCGAAACCCGGUGAUCUAGCCAUGGGCAGGUUGAAGGUUGGGUAACACUAACUGGAGGACCGAACCGACUAAUGUUGAAAAAUUAGCGGAUGACUUGUGGCUGGGGGUGAAAGGCCAAUCAAACCGGGAGAUAGCUGGUUCUCCCCGAAAGCUAUUUAGGUAGCGCCUCGUGAAUUCAUCUCCGGGGGUAGAGCACUGUUUCGGCAAGGGGGUCAUCCCGACUUACCAACCCGAUGCAAACUGCGAAUACCGGAGAAUGUUAUCACGGGAGACACACGGCGGGUGCUAACGUCCGUCGUGAAGAGGGAAACAACCCAGACCGCCAGCUAAGGUCCCAAAGUCAUGGUUAAGUGGGAAACGAUGUGGGAAGGCCCAGACAGCCAGGAUGUUGGCUUAGAAGCAGCCAUCAUUUAAAGAAAGCGUAAUAGCUCACUGGUCGAGUCGGCCUGCGCGGAAGAUGUAACGGGGCUAAACCAUGCACCGAAGCUGCGGCAGCGACGCUUAUGCGUUGUUGGGUAGGGGAGCGUUCUGUAAGCCUGCGAAGGUGUGCUGUGAGGCAUGCUGGAGGUAUCAGAAGUGCGAAUGCUGACAUAAGUAACGAUAAAGCGGGUGAAAAGCCCGCUCGCCGGAAGACCAAGGGUUCCUGUCCAACGUUAAUCGGGGCAGGGUGAGUCGACCCCUAAGGCGAGGCCGAAAGGCGUAGUCGAUGGGAAACAGGUUAAUAUUCCUGUACUUGGUGUUACUGCGAAGGGGGGACGGAGAAGGCUAUGUUGGCCGGGCGACGGUUGUCCCGGUUUAAGCGUGUAGGCUGGUUUUCCAGGCAAAUCCGGAAAAUCAAGGCUGAGGCGUGAUGACGAGGCACUACGGUGCUGAAGCAACAAAUGCCCUGCUUCCAGGAAAAGCCUCUAAGCAUCAGGUAACAUCAAAUCGUACCCCAAACCGACACAGGUGGUCAGGUAGAGAAUACCAAGGCGCUUGAGAGAACUCGGGUGAAGGAACUAGGCAAAAUGGUGCCGUAACUUCGGGAGAAGGCACGCUGAUAUGUAGGUGAAGUCCCUCGCGGAUGGAGCUGAAAUCAGUCGAAGAUACCAGCUGGCUGCAACUGUUUAUUAAAAACACAGCACUGUGCAAACACGAAAGUGGACGUAUACGGUGUGACGCCUGCCCGGUGCCGGAAGGUUAAUUGAUGGGGUCAGCGCAAGCGAAGCUCUUGAUCGAAGCCCCGGUAAACGGCGGCCGUAACUAUAACGGUCCUAAGGUAGCGAAAUUCCUUGUCGGGUAAGUUCCGACCUGCACGAAUGGCGUAAUGAUGGCCAGGCUGUCUCCACCCGAGACUCAGUGAAAUUGAACUCGCUGUGAAGAUGCAGUGUACCCGCGGCAAGACGGAAAGACCCCGUGAACCUUUACUAUAGCUUGACACUGAACAUUGAGCCUUGAUGUGUAGGAUAGGUGGGAGGCUUUGAAGUGUGGACGCCAGUCUGCAUGGAGCCGACCUUGAAAUACCACCCUUUAAUGUUUGAUGUUCUAACGUUGACCCGUAAUCCGGGUUGCGGACAGUGUCUGGUGGGUAGUUUGACUGGGGCGGUCUCCUCCUAAAGAGUAACGGAGGAGCACGAAGGUUGGCUAAUCCUGGUCGGACAUCAGGAGGUUAGUGCAAUGGCAUAAGCCAGCUUGACUGCGAGCGUGACGGCGCGAGCAGGUGCGAAAGCAGGUCAUAGUGAUCCGGUGGUUCUGAAUGGAAGGGCCAUCGCUCAACGGAUAAAAGGUACUCCGGGGAUAACAGGCUGAUACCGCCCAAGAGUUCAUAUCGACGGCGGUGUUUGGCACCUCGAUGUCGGCUCAUCACAUCCUGGGGCUGAAGUAGGUCCCAAGGGUAUGGCUGUUCGCCAUUUAAAGUGGUACGCGAGCUGGGUUUAGAACGUCGUGAGACAGUUCGGUCCCUAUCUGCCGUGGGCGCUGGAGAA